rnacentral:rRNA from 1 species
AUGGCAUAUCACGCAGACCCAUUCAUUCUUGCCAGCGAUGCUACCCAGAUUUUCUUUGUGGAAGACCCCUUGCCUAAGAACUCCCAUUUAGUGAUGCAUGGGAAGAGAAGGGUAUUGGGUGUCGACGAUGCCGAUGAGGACGAGUACGACGAAUUUGAUGAGUUGCCAGCCAAGGGAUCACGCACCGGUGUAACAGAGAAGCGUAAAAUCAUCAAAAACCCCAAGUUCAUUCGGGGUCAACGUAAUGAUCCCAGUUCCCCCAUGUACAUGGGAAUUAAGCCGAAGCACACUCAAUUGAUCUCACUACAAAAAUCAAACCCGUGGUAUAAUGCUCCCUCAUGCCCACCGCCCACCUCGCACACGAUUCCCCUCCCCCUCCCGACCUUCUUCUUCGUGUCCUCGUGGGCGCUGCCCCCACCACCCACCAACCUCCAAAUCCCCGAGGAGCCACCUCCACCAACCUCCCGCCCGGAGCCCACCUCCUCUCCCUCCCUUGCACCGACUCCAGCCGGAAACCUCCCCCCAAGUCACGCGCCUCCCACCCGCGGCGCCCCUCUUCCUUCUCCUGCGCCGCCGUUCGACGCGACGACUAGCUCCCCGCGCCACCAUGCCCUACACCACCGGAUCCAGGCCCUCCACCACCGGAUCGGCCAUCUUCCGGAUCCGCAAGCCCGUGUCCAUUGUCCGACGAGCCCAGCCACCCGUGCAACCCCACCUCCACCACCAUCGUUUGGAGCCAGCAGGUGCCGGGAUCCGACGAGAUCCGACGAGCCCUUCCUCCCAUUGGUCGCCCUCCCCAUGGACACCCCUCCCGGUGACGAGUUGCACCUCCGUGGCAACCGGCGGCGAGUGGCACACCAUCCAUCACCACCCCCCUGCAGUGUGCAAACUGCUGCACUGCAGUCCACACCUCUGCCCCCGUCGCUGGGAGGUCGACGGCUCAAGCUCCACCUUUGCGCGAGGAUCUCGCGACCAUCUAGCCACCCCCUAAGGCGCUCGUCUUGUCAAAAAACCAGAGUGGUCGCGGUUCCUGGGGCAUGGGCGUGCAAUGCAGCGCCCAUGUGCGUGCAGUCCGCGGAGAUGGGGGUGCAGAACGACGACAUUUUGGUUGCAGUCCCAUGGGCGCACAUGUGUAGUGCUGUAGGGGUACUCACUUGCUUGAUCGCCACGGUGAUCUUCUUUUUCCCAGAGGUUCACUAUGUUGCCAAAGUGCAAUUUUUGUUGGAAAAAGUCCGAAGUGCCCCAUCUCCUUUUGGAAACUAUGAUCCUUCUUGUGAGAUGCUCCGGUAUGGAAGGCCUUUCCACGCGUGCGGCGACCGGGGAUAUUUUUCACCCUUUUCACCUAGGCCGCCAACACCCCCCACCGUCCGCCCGCGUUUCACUCAACUAGUCCACCCAAUCUCCAUCUCCAGCUCCCCCCUCCCCCAGAUCCAUAGCAGAACCCUCUCCGGCGCCGCCGUGCUCAAUCCGGCCGUGUGCCCGCUCUUCGGCGUCAAGCCUACCUCCAUUACCGUACCCAACACGCGGCGGCCCGCGCCUCGCCGGCUUCGUUUGCUCGCCAGCCACCCUCGAGCAUAUCGAUGCAGUAACCCUCGCCUCUCCUGUGGUUCGGCCGGGUUUGCAUUAAGAAGCCUGCUAGUUACUGCUCUCCAUUGCGGUGAGGCAUAUUCCUCGCAAUCCCUCUUCCAAUUUCGUUCCAUGCCGAGUAGCAGCGACAACACUCAUGCUUCAGGCGAUGUAUCUUCAUCUGAUCGGACAACCCUAGGUCUUCAGCAGAUUGUGAGGGAUCAAGUAAUCUUGAACGGCAUAGAGCUGCAGCAAUUACCCUUCCGGUCAUGGCACGGAGGAACGCUCCAAGGAAGCCCACACACCAGCCUAAAGGUGUAUAUGAAGGCAAGGCUCAACAUUAAUCUGCCGGGGUUUCGGAAGGCUGACACAGAAACACGGCGAAGGAUAGUCCGAGAGAUCAUGGAUCACUUCAACGUUCCAGAGCAGUGGGGAAUGCAGGUGGAACAUGCUACACUGAAGAAGGCUAGGGAUGCUUGGAGAAACUGGAAGCACGUGCUGUACAAGAAGGCAACUAAAGAGUUUGCUGAGAAGAGUUUCAAGCAAUCGGAACUUCAGAAGAAGAACAUACACACCCACCGUAUGGGUGUGGCAGGAUACUACGGCAUGAAACUGAUAUGGGACCAGGAGGACAAAGAAGCAGUAGCGGCAGGUGGGAAUCCGACCUUUAGUGAAAUCAGGGGCAAACUCGCCAGAGACUACUUGCGAGCACGUGCAAAGAGGCGUGAUGGUGGAACUUAUUACUUUAAAAACUCACGUGACGCCGAACUGUAUCAAGUGAUGUUAGAGGCUUCCAAGAUCCCUGGAAGGUUCUACAGGAACUCAGGGCCAUGUGACAAUCUGUCUGUUGCUCUAAAAACAAAAGAGCCCCCAGGCCGUGCAAGGGGUAUAGGUGUUAAUGUCCCGCACAAGAGGGCUUUCACACUCAGCAAAGAAGAGAGGCUCAGCAUGAAAAAAGUGAGGAGCGAAAUGAAGCAGAAUGCAUUGUAUGAGAGGUUGAGGAAGGAGAUUUAUUCGGCUGUUCGAAAGGAUGUUGAGGAGUCAAUGAUGAUGCGGAAGACUCUAACACUGACAGAUAGCCAGCAGAUGGGAGGGUUGGCGGGCAUGGAGGAUGCUGCUUAUUGCGCAACAACACUGCACAAGAGUAGCUGUGCGUCAGCUGACCCCAGCGACACAGAGACUGCAGCUGCUCGUGAUGAUGCUAUAUCUGAUCUAUCUGGAAUGAAAGACAGACUGAAGGGCCAGCUCUCGCGGGCUGAUGCAUCAACCUGUGAUCAGCCGGCCCGACUUUGUGGCGUACAGGCCAUGUCAUCCUCCGCCCCAAAGCAGCCAGUGGCAAGGCCUACAACUGCUGAAGACGCACCACCGGUUCAGAUGCCGGCCGCUGAAGCAGCGGGGGGAGACCCAGCUGCAGCACAUGCUCAGCAGACCAACCUGGUGGAAUGGACUGCUAAGCAGUCUGAUGCUUCGGAACCGCCUGCUAAGCAGUCUCUAGGUCCAGAACCAACUGCUCAUCAGUCCCACACCGACAAGUUGGCACCACCUGCGCAGAAACCCGACAUAGCUUCAAUGCAUGGUCAGCAGUCUGAUGCCUCUGCUCCUACAUCCCAUCAGUUCGUCACAGCAGCACCGCCAGCUCAGCAGUCCGGCAUAGAUAAACCGUCUGCUAAGCAGUCCAUCCAAGCUUCACCGUCUGCUCGGCAGUCUACCUUUAAAGUAGACGUACUUCAAGCACACUAUUACGUCCAUGGCCAGCCAUUUCUUAUUGGCGAAUACUUUGAUGAGUGCAACUCCAGUUGCGGCGAAUUACAUGAAUAUUGCAUGGAUCUAAUGUCAGCAGGUCAGCAUGGUUUGCUAGUCCACUACAACAGAGAUCAUUUCCGAUACAAUGCUGGUUCCAUCGAUGUGAGUUUCGAGGACUUACAUCUCUUCUUCAACUUCAACGUGCUCGAUACCACUCUUGUUAGAUACCUGAUUUUCAAUCACUGGAUAUUGGUAUUCAUUGUUCCAAACAAGAACAUAGUUUACUACAACGAUUCUCUUAGAGAUGUGCUCGCAUUGUGGAAAACUAAACCAGGGAACCUGUUCAAGAGGGGACUACCUCUGCAGCACGAGAUCGUUUCUCCGCUCAUCUUAAAACCGAGGACCCCUGAACCACUCCCGGCUGGUGAAUUGCUGAUGGUUCGGAGAUUUAUCAGCGACUUCUUCCUGGAUCACUACAUCAAUCCCACUGGUGAUAAUGAAGAUUUCAGCAUGCCUUCUCCUAAAACAUUGAGUAAAAGUUAG